UAAAUUUGAUUCUUACUAUUAUUUUUAAUUGGAUUUUGGAGAAAUAUCUUUAAUUUAAGUAUAUUAAGGAAAUAAUUUUUUUAGUUAUAGUUAAAUAGUACCGUGAGGGAAUUAUGAUGAAAAAUUUUGAAAAUUUAUUUUUAUAGAAGUAUAUUUUGUUUGUUGUACCUUUUGUAUCAGGGUUAAUUAAAUAUUAUUAAUUUAUUUUUGGAUUCUCGAUUUCAGAAGAGCUAUAUUAUAAUUUAUUUGAUGUUACAUAAUCAUUAAAAAUAUAAGUUAGAGGAGAAAUUCUAUUCGUUUUUAAAGGUAUCUAGUUUUUUAAGAAAUAAAUUUAAUUUAGAUUUUUAAUUUAAUUUAUUAAUUUUUUAAUAAGUUAUUUUUUGAAGUUAAAAUUUUAGGGGAUAAGCUCUAAUUUUAUUCUAGAAAUAUUGAUUAUAGUUAAUUUAUGUAGGGUUAAGAUCAUCCAUCAUUAAGGAGUACGUUAUAGUUAAGAUUAUUAUAAGUUGAUUUUUUUUAUUUUAGUAAUUUAUUAAAAUUUCAGUUUUAAUUAUAAAUUUUGAGUAAUAAUGAUUAAAUUAGUAUAAUUGAAUAUGUUUAUAAUUUUAUUGAUUGAGAUGAUAAAGUAAGGAACUCGGCAAAUUAACACUCGCCUGUUUAACAAAAACAUGUCUUCUUGAUUAUAAUAAGAAAGUCUGACCUGCCCAGUGAAAAUUAUUUAACGGCCGCGGUAUUUUGACCGUGCAAAGGUAGCAUAAUCAUUAGUCUUUUAAUAGAGGGCUGGUAUGAAGGGUUUGACGAGGUGUUGACUGUCUCAUUUGAUUUGGAUUUAGAAUUUACCUUUUUAGUUAAAAGGCUAAAAUAUUAUUGGAAGACGAGAAGACCCUAUAGAGCUUUAUAUUUAUUUUAUUAAUUAAUUCUUGUUUAUUAUUAUUUAUUAUUAAAUAAAAUAUUUUGUUGGGGUGACAAAAAUAUAUAAGUAACUUUUUUAUUUAAAUUACAUUGAUUUAUGAUUAGUAGAUCCAAUUUUAUUGAUUGUUAGAUUAAGUUACCUUAGGGAUAACAGCGUAAUCCUUCUCCAGAGUUCAUAUUUACAGGGGGGCUUGCGACCUCGAUGUUGGAUUAAGAUAAUAGUUAGGUGUAGCCGCUUAAUAUAUAGGUCUGWUCGACCAUUAAAUCUUACAU
rnacentral:rRNA from 1 species